rnacentral:misc_RNA from 1 species
UCCCGGCAUGAGCGCCGCAGCAACGACUACUACUGCUACGACGACUAUUUCUAGGACACUGCCGCAACAGUGACAGAGCACCGUUGAGUGCGUCAAGUGUGUCUCUGCCUCUCUGUCCGUGAGUGUGUACCAUACGGUGCCUGGGCUCUCCCAAGACCCCAUGCCCCCUCUCGCCUCUCCUCCCUCCUCAUACACUUUUUUUUUGUUUUACCGCUUGAAUGAUAGACUUCUCUUUCUCUUGGUGUGGACGCCAUCUUUUCGACCCCUCCCCAUUUCCUGGUGCGUGUGUGUGCGUGUGUGUAUGCUUGAUCAACGCCCAUCCAUCACAACGCAUACACACCACGGCAGGCACCCCCCCUCCUACUCCUUGGGUCUGUGUGUCGGCCUCCCUGGUUCUUUCCUUCCUUAUUGUCACUCCUUCGCGCGGGCUUCUCUCCACACACACGCACACACGCACGCACACUCUCUCCUGCGCCGCUCCUAUCCGUGUGGGCAUCAUUGCGUUUUUGAUUCAUUUCUCCCUUUGUCGUUUGUUUUCUCACGUGCGCCGAGGACCUCCGGGCUUCCAUUGAUCCAGAGGACCCCCUCGUCCAUUUCAAACACACGCUCCCCCACUUAACUCCCCUCGCCACUACCACCACCACCAACACCAUCCCCCCUUCCUAUCAUGCUCCGCGAGGCCCGCAGACGCAAGCAGCAAGUGGCCGCCAAAAUCGGACACGAAGAAUAUAUCUACCGCCUUAAUGGCAACCCCUUUAGCCAUCAGGAGGUGAUUCGUGUACGCCCGCAAGGCGACCUCGACCCGCGUCGAGUGCAAGCGGCGGGCAUCAGAGUUGGGGUUGGCGGCGCCAGAGGUGUUGGUGGGCCAAGUCGACCGCCGUUUGCGGUGGACGACGACGCCAACUACAGCAAUGGCGGUGGCAGAGGUAGCCGCGUUGCCCCGUUGAACCCCAGUUCUGGCGUACCUAACGAUGGACCCUCCAACGAGGCCGUAGCCCCGUACAGUGCCCCCGAAGGCUGCAACGGCGGCACUCCGCGCGGCAAAAAGUACGCUGCAGCCAACUACGCUUCCCCCUACGGCGGCGGCGGUGGUGGUGCGGACGGCCAUCCGCACCCACUCGUGUCGCAGGGGCAGCACAUCGUGAGCACCUUUACCCCCGUAAUCCCAGCCAUCGCGCCGGUCAGGGACCUGCCCGCUCCCCUGCCUGCUGUGUACAGACCAAAGCCGCCCCUCACGUUUCACAGUGGCCCGGCUUCAGGCGCAGAGGUGCCGCCUUUCUCUCUCACGCCGUUGCCGCAGCAUCCGGCGCCAUCGCAGGUGUGCUACCCCUCCAGCGAAGCCGGUACUCCCAGGGCUGCUGCGGCCCCGGUGUACUUAUCACCCGGUGAGAAAGGCGCUGGCCGACCCAGCACAAGUCCGACGGUGCUGCCGCCGCUCAACUCAGACGGUGGCAACAGCAGUGGUGGUGGUCCCUUCCCCACCCGCAGCCCGCGCCCGAGCACGAGCGGAGCCGCCUUGGGCGGCGGCGGCUUCCUCAUCGGCGGCGACGGCCUCUCUGCUGCUGAGGAGCGCCACCGCGAGAAGAUGGCGGCGCGCCAGCGUGCCGUUGAGCUGCAGAGGGAGAAUGCACGGCAGAUCCUGGAGAAGCAGCAACGCAAGCAAGCAGAGCGGGAGCGGGAGAUUCAGGAAUACCGCCUGGCCGAGGAGCGACUGCAGCGGGAACGGGAGGAGGUGGCGCGGCGGGAGCAGGCGGAGCUAGAUCGCGAGAAGCGCGAGAAGGAGCUGAAGAUGAUGGCGCCGCGCGCAGCGCAGGCGAUGUUGGAGCAGCAGCAGCGCGAGACGCAGCAGCGGAGAGAGGAGGAGGCGGCAGCUCGGCGCAAUAGAGCGAGAGCCCCGGCAACCCCGGCAACCCCGGCAGCCCCAGAAGCCCCAGAAGUCCCAGAAGCCCCAGAAGCCCCAGAAAUGGGGAAGGAGGCUCUGAAAUCGACGGCCCUACCGCUACCCGCGUCUGCCAACGUAGCCUCGACCAGCCUCCAGUCACAGCCGCCAGCGAAUCACCUGUUGCCACUGGCAGCGCCGUCCGUCCUGCCCCCUCCAGCGCCGGCGCCUGCUUUACCCUACCUCGUGGACUUUAACUUUGGCAGCGGGCUUCGCCAUUCGCCGCAGCCAUUGCCGACACCUUACUACUACCCGCCCGCCAACAUGUGUCCACAGGCGGCGCUACUGCCCAACGCAGACACCCAGUCCAUCCGUAGCGAGCUGCGGCGCAUCACCAACCUACUCGAGGAGCAGCAGCUGCAGCAGCGACGCGCCAUGGAUAGCAUCAGCAUUGGCGCCAACGCAGCACCGCAGCCAUGGCACAGCGGUACACCGCAGCCUUCCACUAAAGCCGGGGCUGGCACGUACCUCACCACUGGCCAGCCGUCACCUUCUAUCGGUGCUGGCGGCCCCGCCCCUGUGAUCACGGCGCAGCGAAACAGCGCGGCACCGUACAGGGCUUUCUCGACAGGCGGUACGCUGCCGCCACCUCCACUUGCCACAGCAGCACCGCCCGCUCCAUCCUCGUCUGGUGCAGGCGCGCCGUCGGUAGGCAUCGGGACGUGGCAGGGGCUCUUGUCCCCGUAUGCUGGCACCUCUGCGGCCGGCGCUGGCGGCAGCCUGCUGAACCCGCCGUCCAGGUCCAUUCCGCAGUUUACCAGCUCCAUCACGGACAAUGAACCGGAGCUCUCCACGGAGCCGUCCCGGUUCAUCGGCCCCUUCAGAGCACCAGUGACUGCGGUGCCGAGCCCUCCUCCUGUCCCCGUGCCGGGGGUGACGCUUGUGGGGGCGGACUCGAUGGCGACGAAGCCACUGCCACCAUUGGUGCACCGUGCAGGUGUCACUGAACCCGACGCAGAGCACUGCGUAGCGACCCCACCGCCAGCGUCGACGGCCGCGUCAUCCCGUCUCUCCCCAGUGUCGUCGGCCUCGGCGCUUGCGCCGGCACGCUUCUCGAUGCCAGAGAUGAAUUCCCCAACGAGGUCGCCAAACGUAGAGAGGCUCCCCUCAGUCCGCCAUGGUUCCCCUCAGGCGACGGAAGGGUCGAGGACAGACGCGGACGAGGGCGAGCCGGCGAGGCGAGUGAGCGAGUCGCCGAUGUCGUAGGUGGGAACUACCUACACCGACAGAGUUCACACCCGAAGCCCCUCCUCCGUGGAGUUGUCGGAGGAAUAGAGGCAGAGUGCAUGGACCAUCUCCAUUAUUCCCCCCCCUUCUUCGCAGCUUGCAUCUCUCUCUCUCUUUCUUUCCCUAUCUUGUUGCAAUACAAGUAGAUGCAUGUACAGCGCAUGAUGGGAUGGAGGAGAGAUGAAAAAGACGAAGGCGUGGGGCGAGUGCGGAUGCAUACGGCGUGCGGUGAGGGUUUUUGUGUUUUCCUUUAAGAAGGAGAGCGUGCCUUCAUGGCCACGACGUUCGACUGCGUUGGGUGUGGGAGUGUAUGCAGAGCAGGAAAGCGAGAGAGGGCGGAUGUGAUGCAGAUUUCAAAGGCACACACGCACGCUCACUCACGUAUGUGUGCGCCGCUGUGUGAACGGAUGCGCUGGUGUGACGUACGCCACUGCCAGUUCUCUUUUACAGCUGUUGUUGCUCUCAUUUUCAGUGCUUCGCUUCGCCUACUCUCCCGCCUGGGCAGCCCAUGCCCUCCUCCUCCGCUGCGCCUUUCCUUGCCAUCCCUCUCGCCGUCUUCGACCUGCUCCGCGCGGGUGGUCUCUGUCUUUCACGAGUCUUUGUAGCCGCACCUGCGCACGCGGACGCCGCUCUCCCCUUCUUCCUCCCUCCCUCGCUUCUCUGUUGCAUCCUCUGCAAAUGUGCGCAUCAUUAGUUUUGCGAAUGUAUACGCGCAGCCGCACAUGCGUGCCGAUGCGUCUGUGAGGAUGUGUGUCUGUGAGGAGAUACAGUAGAUCGGUGCCUUCUUCUGUCGCCACGAAGGUGAGCAUGAAGGGGUGGAUGAUAUGAUUCUAUGUCUCAGUGUGCGUGUGCUCUGCUCGUCUCUCGCGUUGUGUGCGGGCCUUGCUUUUUCUCACGUGUCUGCUUGCCCAUGUUCAUCCCUUUCUCUCUCCCUGUAAAUGUAUAUGUAUGGAUAUAUAUAUAUAUAUAUAUAUAUGCAUUUUACAUGUAUAUAUGUAUGUGUGUGUGUGUUCGCUUGCCUCCCACUCCUCUGUCAGCUGCACCUCCGUUCUCCCACCACAACUCUCUCUCUCCCUCUCGCCCUUUCUCCCGGUUUUGAAGGCGCAGUAGCGGCGGAAAAGAGGGACGAGAGGGAGGCGGCCGUGGUGGGUGGGGGAGUAAGUGAGAGAAAAGGCUGAUGAUGGUGAUGGACAAUCCUAAAAUUCGAGACGACAGCAGGAAGAGGCAUGAGCACGCGCAGCAGCGGCAGGAGAGGGACUGGCUUGAAGGUGAUAUAUAUAUAUAUAUAUAUGUGAAGGAAGAAG